rnacentral:tRNA from 1 species
GCGGGAGUGCCGGAGCGGCCAAACGGGAUAGCCUCAAAAGCUAUUGGCUUAGUGCCUACGCAGGUUCAAAUCCUGUCUCCCGCA